GAUGAACGCUGGCGGCGUGCCUAACACAUGCAAGUUGAGCGUGAAGUUUAUAUUGAUUCUUCGGAUGAUUUAUAAAUGGAAAGCAGCGGACGGGUGAGUAACGCGUGGAUAACCUGCCCUAUACUCCAGGAUAACAUACCGAAAGGUAUGCUAAUACUGGAUAAUAUACAUUAGUCGCAUGGCUUUUGUAUCAAAGAUUACGGUAUAGGAUGGAUCCGCGUUCCAUUAGCUAGUUGGUGGGGUAAAGGCCUACCAAGGCGACGAUGGAUAGCCGACCUGAGAGGGUGAUCGGCCACACUGGAACUGAGACACGGUCCAGACUCCUACGGGAGGCAGCAGUGGGGAAUAUUGCACAAUGGGCGAAAGCCUGAUGCAGCAACGCCGCGUGAGCGAUGAAGGCCUUCGGGUCGUAAAGCUCUGUCCUAAAGGAAGAAUUUUUUGACGGUACUUUAGGAGGAAGCCCCGGCUAAUUACGUGCCAGCAGCCGCGGUAAUACC
rnacentral:rRNA from 1 species